CACGUAGUUAGCCGUGGCUUUCUGAUUAGGUACCGUCAAGAUGCGCACAGUUACUUACGCAUUUGUUCUUCCCUAAUAACAGAGUUUUACGAUCCGAAAACCUUCAUCACUCACGCGGCGUUGCUCCGUCAGGCUUUCGCCCAUUGCGGAAGAUUCCCUACUGCUGCCUCCCGUAGGAGUCUGGACCGUGUCUCAGUUCCAGUGUGGCCGAUCACCCUCUCAGGUCGGCUACGUAUCGUCGCCUUGGUAAGCCAUUACCUUACCAACUAGCUAAUACGGCGCGGGUCCAUCUAUAAGUGAUAGCAAAACCAUCUUUCACUAUAGAACCAUGCGGUUCUAUAUGUUAUCCGGCAUUAGCUCCGGUUUCCCGAAGUUAUUCCAGUCUUAUAGGUAGGUUACCCACGUGUUACUCACCCGUCCGCCGCUAACUUCAAAGGAGCAAGCUCCUUAUCCGUUCGCUCGACUUGCAUGUAUUAGGCACGCCGCCAGCGUUCAUCCUGAGCCAGGAUCAAA
rnacentral:rRNA from 1 species